CGGAGGGUGCAAGCGUUGUCCGGAUUUAUUGGGUUUAAAGGGUGCGUAGGCGGCCCGUUAAGUCAGUGGUGAAAUCCCAGGGCUCAACCCUGGAACUGCCAUUGAUACUGACGGGCUUGAGUUCGGUUAAGGCGGGCGGAACUGGUGGUGUAGCGGUGAAAUGCAUAGAUACCACCAAGAACCCCGAUUGCGUAGGCAGCUCGCUGAGCCGAAACUGACGCUGAGGCACGAAAGCGUGGGGAGCGAACAGGA
rnacentral:rRNA from 1 species